ACAAUGGACGCAAGUCUGAUGGAGCAACGCCGCGUGAGUGAAGAAGGGUUUCGGCUCGUAAAGCUCUGUUGUUAAAGAAGAACGUGGGUGAGAGUAACUGUUCACCCAGUGACGGUAUUUAACCAGAAAGCCACGGCUAACUACGUGCCAGCAGCCGCGG
rnacentral:rRNA from 1 species